GAAAACAAUACUCGGAAGGAGGGGCAACAAACAACAACCAGGACCGGCGGCAGCCUCAUUUGUUUCUAAUGAGGUUAAGACCGCCAUUGCUGCCACCUGAAAUGAACUGAACUGGCGUCUGAUGCCGGUCUAGACUGGCAGCCAACUGGGGGAAACUGCCAUUGCCAUUGCUACUGCUACUGCCGCCAGAGCUGCUGGUUAUUGCCGAAGGUCAAUAGUGGCACUUUGUCUACGGAAAAGUUGCCGGCAAAGUUCAGCACGGAAACACUCACUUUUCAGGUGCAAAGCCCACUGCAAUGCCAUCGGAGGAGGCUCUGCGAAAUCGAUGGAUCAAACUUUGGAUGCACCUCUUUUAUGAAAUCGAACUUGUCCCCAGGUUUCGUUCAAAACCAUAUUCAUAAAUAUUAAAAAUGUUAUUCAGUAGCGUAGAUCAGGGGAUCAGGGGGAUCAAUCCCCCCCUUGGGUCUGAGAAUUAUAAUCUGAUAUAAUCUCAAAAUUGAAAAAGAAACACAUUUUU